UUGUGGUAAGGAGUGAAAUACAAAUCGGACUAGGAUAUAGCUGGUUUUCUGCGAAAUCUAUUUUGGUAGAUGACUUGUUAUUAUUUGUAGUGGGUAUAGGCAGCUGAAUAUCUAACUUAUGUUAGAAGGGAGUAUGAAGGUACUUACUUUGGAUAUUUAAUCUGAGAAUAGCUAUUAAUAUAUGAUGAGUUAUCAGACUUCUUGCGAUAAGGUGAGGAGUCGAGAGGGAAACAGCCCAGAAUAAUAUAUAAAGUUCCAAAAUUGUUAUUGAGUGAAUUAAAAGAAGUUUUCUUUCGUAGACAGUCAAGAAG
rnacentral:rRNA from 1 species